rnacentral:rRNA from 1 species
AGAGUUUGAUCCUGGCUCAGGAUGAACGCUGGCGGCGUGCCUAACACAUGCAGGUCGAACGCCUGUUCCAUUUUUAUUGAGUAGCUUGCUACGAUAUAAAAAUGGGUUUUGCAGGAGUGGCGGACGGGUGAGUAACAAGUUGGUAGCUACCUUAAACUCAGGGAUAACUUCGAGAAAUCGAAGCUAAUACCGGAUAGUCCCUUCGGGGUAAAGCUUUUGCGGUUUAAGAGGUGCCUACUUCCUAUCAGCUAGUUGGUGAGGUAACGGCUCACCAAGGCGACGACGGGUAGCUGGUCUGAGAGGAUGAUCAGCCACACUGGGACUGAGACACGGCCCAGACUCCUACGGGAGGCAGCAGUGAGGAAUCUUCCGCAAUGGACGAAAGUCUGACGGAGCAACGCCGCGUGAAGGAUGACAGCCUUAGGGUUGUAAACUUCUUUUGUUAGGGAACAAUUUUGAGGGUACCUAACGAAUAAGUCACGGCUAAUCACGUGCCAGCAGCCGCGGUAAUACGUGAGUGGCUAGCGUUAUCCGGAAUUAUUGGGCGUAAAGCGUCAGCAGGAGGUUUGUUUAGUGAGAUGUAAAAUAUCACGGCUCAACCGUGGGACCGCAUCUCAUACUGGCAGACUAGAGGAAUGUAGAGGCAUAUGGAAUUCCAGGAGUAGGGGUAAUAUCCGUAGAUACCUGGAGGAACACCAAUAGCGAAGGCAGUAUGCUGGGCAUUUCCUGACUCUCAGUGACGAAAGCGUGGGUAGCGAACCGGAUUAGAUACCCGGGUAGUCCACGCCGUAAACGAUGGAUACUCGGUGCAGGGGACUUCGAUCUUCUCUGUGCCCAAGCUAACGCGUUAAGUAUCCCGCCUGGGGAGUACGAUCGCAAGACUAAAACUCAAAGGAAUUGACGGGGAUCCACACAAGCGGUGGAGCAUGUGGUUUAAUUCGACGAUAAGCGAGGAACCUUACCCAGACUUGACAUCCCGAGAACCCUGUGGAAACACGGGGGUGCCGUUUACGGAAUUCGGUGACAGGUGCUGCAUGGUUGUCGUCAGCUCGUGCCGUGAGGUGUACGGUUAAGUCCGAUAACGAGCGCAACCCUUAUCACUAGUUGUAUUUCUCUAGUGAGACUGCCCAUGUAAGUGGGAGGAAGGUGGGGAUGACGUCAAAUCAGCAUGGCUCUUACGUCUGGGGCCACACACGUGCUACAAUGGGGUAUACAAUGGGUAGCCAACCCGCGAGGGGGAGCCAAUCCCAUCAAAGUACCUCUAAGUUCGGAUUGAAGGCUGAAAUUCGCCUUCAUGAAGCUGGAAUCGCUAGUAAACGCCAAUCAGCCACGUGGCGUUGAAUAUGUUCCUGGAUCUUGUACACACCGCCCGUCAUAACACGGAAGAUGGAGGCACCAGAAGCUGCGUUAGCUAACCUUUUAUCGGGGAGCGCGCAUCCAAGGUGAAAUCAUUGACUGGGUUAAAGUCGUAACAAGGUA